rfam:Myotis davidii contig318353, whole genome shotgun sequence.
GGUGGUUCUCGGGUGACGCACCCCAGAAUCAGGCUCCCUUCUCUCUGGUUCCAGGUGUGUCACCUGAGAACCACA